rnacentral:rRNA from 1 species
GACGGAGGGGGCUAGCGUUGUUCGGAAUUACUGGGCGUAAAGGGCGCGUAGGCGGCCAAUCAAGUUAGGCGUGAAAUCCCUGGGCUUAACCCAGGAACUACGUUUAAUACUGAUUAGCUAGAGAUUGGUAGAGGAAAGUGGAAUUCCUAGUGUAGAGGUGAAAUUCGUAGAUAUUAGGAAGAACACCAGAGGCGAAGGCGACUUUCUGGGCCAAUACUGACGCUGAGGCGCGAAAGCGUGGGGAGCAAACAGG